rnacentral:rRNA from 1 species
UGAGGAAUAUUGGUCAAUGGACGCAAGUCUGAACCAGCCAUGCCGCGUGCAGGAAGACGGCUCUAUGAGUUGUAAACUGCUUUUGUACUAGGGUAAACUCAGAUACGUGUAUCUGACUGAAAGUAUAGUACGAAUAAGGAUCGGCUAACUCCGUGCCAGCAGCCGCGGUAAUACGGAGGAUUCAAGCGUUAUCCGGAUUUAUUGGGUUUAAAGGGUGCGUAGGCGGUUUGAUAAGUUAGAGGUGAAAUACCGGUGCUUAACACCGGAACUGCCUCUAAUACUGUUGAGCUAGAGAAUAGUUGCGGUAGGCGGAAUGUAUGGUGUAGCGGUGAAAUGCUUAGAGAUCAUACAGAACACCGAUUGCGAAGGCAGCUUACCAAACUAUAUCUGACGUUGAGGCACGAAAGCGUGGGGAGCAAACAGG